GACGAACGCUGGCGGCGUGCUUAACACAUGCAAGUCGAGCGGUAAGGCCCUUUCGGGGGUACACGAGCGGCGAACGGGUGAGUAACACGUGGGUGACCUGCCCUCAGCUCUGGGAUAAGCCUGGGAGACCGGGUCUAAUACUGGAUAUGACUCCAUGACGCAUGUUGUGGGGUGGAAAGCCUUGUGCGGCUGAGGAUGGGCCCGCGGCCUAUCAGCUUGUUGGUGGGGGAUGGCCUACCAAGGCGACGACGGUAGCCGGCCUGAGGGGGCGACCGGCCACACUGNGACUGAGACACGGCCCAGACUCCUACGGGAGGCAGCAGUGGGGAAUCUUGCGCAAUGGGCGAAAGCCUGACGCAGCGACGCCGCGUGAGGGAUGACGGCCUGGUGUAAC
rnacentral:rRNA from 1 species